CCUACGGGAGGCAGCAGUGAGGAAUCUUGGUCAAUGGCCGGAAGGCUGAACCAGCCAUGCCGCGUGAAGGUCAGUGCCCUAUGGGCGUUAAACUUCUUUUGUGCGGGAGCAAUAAUGGUCACGUGUGGCCAGACGAGAGUACCGUACGAAUAAGCAUCGGCUAACUCCGUGCCAGCAGCCGCGGUAAUACGGGGGAUGCAAGCGUUAUCCGGAUUUAUUGGGUUUAAAGGGUGCGUAGGCUGGGGGGUAAGUCAGCGGUGAAAUGCCCCCGCUCAACGGGGUGAAGUGCCAUUGAUACUGCCUGGCUGGAAUGCGGAUGCGGUGGGAGGAAUGUGUGGUGUAGCGGUGAAAUGCAUAGAUAUCACACAGAACACCGAUUGCGAAGGCAUCUCACGAAUCCGCGAUUGACGCUGAUGCACGAAAGCGUGGGUAUCAAACAGGAUUAGAUACCCUAGUAGUC
rnacentral:rRNA from 1 species